rnacentral:rRNA from 1 species
UGACAUCCUUUGACAACUCUAGAGAUAGAGCCUUCCCCUUCGGGGGACAAAGUGACAGGUGGUGCAUGGUUGUCGUCAGCUCGUGUCGUGAGAUGUUGGGUUAAGUCCCGCAACGAGCGCAACCCUUAAGCUUAGUUGCCAUCAUUAAGUUGGGCACUCUAAGUUGACUGCCGGUGACAAACCGGAGGAAGGUGGGGAUGACGUCAAAUCAUCAUGCCCCUUAUGAUUUGGGCUACACACGUGCUACAAUGGACAAUACAAAGGGCAGCGAAACCGCGAGGUCAAGCAAAUCCCAUAAAGUUGUUCUCAGUUCGGAUUGUAGUCUGCAACUCGACUACAUGAAGCUGGAAUCGCUAGUAAUCGUAGAUCAGCAUGCUACGGUGAAUACGUUCCCGGGUCUUGUACACACCGCCCGUCACACCACGAGAGUUUGUAACACCCGAAGCCGGUGGAGUAACCUUUUAGGAGCUAGCCGUCGAAGGUGGGACAAAUGAUUGGGGUGAAGUCGUAACAAGGUAGCCGUAUCGGAAGGUGCGGCU